UACGGGGGGAGCAAGCGUUGUUCGGAUUUACUGGGCGUAAAGGGCGCGUAGGCGGUCAGCACAAGUCAGUUGUGAAAUCUCCGGGCUUAACUCGGAAAGGUCAACUGAUACUGUGCGACUAGAGUGCAGAAGGGGCAACUGGAAUUCUCGGUGUAGCGGUGAAAUGCGUAGAGAUCGGUAGGAACACCAGUGGCGAAGGCGGUCUCCUGGGGCAUACUUGACGCUGAGGCGCGAAAGCUGGGGGAGCGAACGGG
rnacentral:rRNA from 1 species